rnacentral:rRNA from 1 species
UACGUAGGAGGCAAGCGUUGUCCGGAAUUACUGGGCGUAAAGCGCGUGUAGGUGGUGGGACAAGUCUGCUGUGAAAGCGCCUGGCUUAACCGGGCGAGGUCGGCGGAAACUGUCCGACUCGAGGACGGUAGAGGGGGGUGGAAUUCCCGGUGUAGUGGUGAAAUGCGCAGAUAUCGGGAGGAACACCGGUGGCGAAGGCGGUUCUCUGGGCCUUACCUGACGCUGAGGAGCGAAAGCGUGGGGAGCGAACAGG